rnacentral:rRNA from 1 species
GGACGAACGCUGGCGGCGUGCUUAACACAUGCAAGUCGAGCGGUAAGGCCCUUUCGGGGGUACACGAGCGGCGAACGGGUGAGUAACACGUGGGUGACCUGCCCUCAGCUCUGGGAUAAGCCUGGGAAACCGGGUCUAAUACUGGAUAUGACUCCAUGACGCAUGUUGUGGGGUGGAAAGCCUUGUGCGGCUGAGGAUGGGCCCGCGGCCUAUCAGCUUGUUGGUGGGGGAUGGCCUACCAAGGCGACGACGGGUAGCCGGCCUGAGAGGGCGACCGGCCACACUGGGACUGAGACACGGCCCAGGACUCCUACGGGAGGCAGCAGUGGGGAAUCUUGCGCAAUGGGCGAAAGCCUGACGCAGCGACGCCGCGUGAGGGAUGACGGCCUGGU